rnacentral:rRNA from 1 species
AAAGGAAUAGACGGGGGCCCGCACAAGCGGCGGAGCAUGUGGAUUAAUUCGAUGCAACGCGAAGAACCUUACCUGGGUUUGACAUACACCGGACGCUGGUAGAGAUAUCAGUUCCCUUGUGGUCGGUGUACAGGUGGUGCAUGGCUGUCGUCAGCUCGUGUCGUGAGAUGUUGGGUUAAGUCCCGCAACGAGCGCAACCCUUGUCUUAUGUUGCCAGCACGUAAUGGUGGGGACUCGUAAGAGACUGCCGGGGUCAACUCGGAGGAAGGUGGGGACGACGUCAAGUCAUCAUGCCCCUUAUGUCCAGGGCUUCACACAUGCUACAAUGGCCAGUACAGAGGGCUGCGAUACCGCGAGGUGGAGCGAAUCCCUUAAAGCUGGUCUCAGUUCGGAUCGGGGUCUGCAACUCGACCCCGUGAAGUCGGAGUCGCUAGUAAUCGCAGAUCAGCAACGCUGCGGUGAAUACGUUCCCGGGCCUUGUACACACCGCCCGU